AGAGUUUGAUCAUGGCUCAGGACGAACGCUGGCGGCGUGCCUAACACAUGCAAGUCGAGCGAUGAAACCCUUCGGGGUGGAUUAGCGGCGGACGGGUGAGUAACACGUGGGUAACCUGCCUCAAAGAGGGGAAUAGCCUCCCGAAAGGGAGAUUAAUACCGCAUAAUAUGUUUUGAUCGCAUGAUCGAGACAUCAAAGGAUUCUCUUUAGAGUUUCCACUUUGAGAUGGACCCGCGGCGCAUUAGCUAGUUGGUGAGGUAACGGCCCACCAAGGCAACGAUGCGUAGCCGACCUGAGAGGGUGAUCGGCCACAUUGGAACUGAGACACGGUCCAGACUCCUACGGGAGGCAGCAGUGGGGAAUAUUGCGCAAUGGGGGAAACCCUGACGCAGCAACGCCGCGUGAAUGAUGAAGGCCUUCGGGUUGUAAAGUUCUGUCUUCUGGGACGAUAAUGACGGUACCAGAGGAGGAAGCCACGGCUAACUACGUGCCAGCAGCCGCGGUAAUACGUAGGUGGCAAGCGUUGUCCGGAUUUACUGGGCGUAAAGGAUGCGUAGGCGGACAUUUAAGUCAGAUGUGAAAUACCCGAGCUUAACUUGGGUGCUGCAUUUGAAACUGGGUGUCUAGAGUGCAGGAGAGGUAAGUGGAAUUCCUAGUGUAGCGGUGAAAUGCGUAGAGAUUAGGAAGAACACCAGUGGCGAAGGCGACUUACUGGACUGUAACUGACGCUGAGGCAUGAAAGCGUGGGGAGCAAACAGGAUUAGAUACCCUAGUAGUCC
rnacentral:rRNA from 1 species